CUCGCAUCUGAUGCACAGCUUUUUCACAGAUUAUAUUUAUCCCCUGAAACACUAAGUGUCGUACGUUACCGUCAUUAAAAUGUUUUGGAAGCAAUUGGACGCGUCUUCACGGAGGAACCCUUAAUCAUCGCACAGGAAAGGAGCAACAAAAGAGAUUGUUGAGUCAUGUCUACGAGAUCAAAGGAGAAGGUUGUAGCCGCUUUUCGGAAAAUUUUUAGACCGUCCGAAAAAAUUUCGGAACAGGAAGCGGCGAGCAGUUCGACAAGCUCUCCUUCGAGAAGGCUUCUGAGCCGGCAUCAUCGUCCCGAUGCAGUUACCCCAUCUGAUGGCGCGUUACCUGAAAAUUCAGGCGCCAGCAACUCAAACCAUGGAAGUUGCUUCUUUAAAUCCAAGAAAACCACUGGCAACUCGACUCAGGGUGCUGUUGUAAUACCAGACAAGAGGGUUCGUUUACGGCGACUAAUGAAGGAGCUCAGCGAGAUUCAGAGGACGCAGCACCGGCACGAGUCGACCUUCACCGCGGAGCUGGUGAAUGACAAUUUGUUCGAGUGGCACGUGAGACUGCACAAAAUCGAUCCAGAGAGUGCACUGGCGGCUGACAUGAUAGAGCUCAACAUACCUUACAUACUUCUCCAUAUCGUAUUCCCGGAAAAUUUUCCGUUCGCACCACCCUUUAUGCGCGUUAUUUCGCCUCGAAUCGAGAAAGGAUUCGUGAUGGAAGGCGGCGCUAUCUGUAUGGAGCUCCUUACACCCAGGGGGUGGGCUAGCGCGUACACCAUCGAAGCUGUCAUUACGCAAUUUGCCGCCAGCAUCGUUAAAGGACAGGUGAAGUAUUAGUUUCUUUUAAGCGAUCAAUUUGAAACACAGGACCAGUUUUAAGCUUUGAUAUUGAUAUAUUAUACCUUGGGCGAAGGUGGAAGCGGAGGGUAUCCGGGUCGCGUGGCAAGGAAACCAAAGGCAAACAAAGAAUUCAAUAGACGCUCCGCUGAAGAAUCCUUCAGAAGUCUAGUGAAGACCCAUGAGAAGUAUGGUUGGGUCACGCCACCGCUAGCCGAGGGUUGAUCCUUCGGACCGAGGCUGAAACACGAGAAACAUGAUUGUUAUUUAAAGAAGUGAACCGCUGCGUGCAGAGCUUUAUUGGUUUCAUUUCUUUCCCUUUCUGAACGUUCGUGAAAUCGCGUUAUAAUCGCAUUAAAAUUUCCGAUGCUUCUACAGCAAGCACGUUGUACAAUAGUUGAGAAAGGAAUGGAAAACGAUAGCAAGAACAAUAAGGAGUUCUAGAGUUCGUUAACGUGGUUGAAACAAUAGCGAUAAUGUUUGUGGUUGUUCGAUUAUAAAAACAUUAGUCGCUUUUGGGUAAGUGUCGCAUUUAAUUGAUCAAUAUGAAAUUCCUACGACAUUUAUUGUACAUACGAACAGUGAACAUUUCAGACAGACGAGCCUUUUUUUAAAUCUCUAGGUAGUGACCUAAAAAGUAAUAUAUAAAAAAUUCUGUUAAUGUGUUAUGAGAUUGAAUUUUUUUAUCUAUGUUUUUUUUUAUUUCAAGUUACAAAAUUAAUGCUAUUUAGUAAUGUUAUAAAUAUUCUGAAUUUUAUUUAUAAGAAUGGAACUACUAAGAUCAAGAAGAUACAGGAACUCGUUCAAAAAUAAUUAUGAAGAUAGAACUCAGUGGAUAUACGAUAUAAAUUACAUUAUGAAAAGAGAUGCAUACAUAUAUAAGAAUGUAAUACAAUGAUGGCAUAAAUCCAUAGAAACAGAUUUUCAGUACACAGGGUCUUAUACAAAAAGGUGUUACAAACUUUGAAUGGCUGAGUAUAUUAGUUGGCUUAUGAAUUUUCACAGUGCAACUUUUGAGGCUUAUCGUUUUUUUUUUAAAUAAGACAACUGUUUUACAAUUUUACUAGUUUUAUUUUGGUGAGACGCGCUCGCACUUACCAAGACCAUUAUCAAUAUGAACUAUUUUAACAGUUAAUUAAUACUCCAUUUGUCGAUAAACAGUACGUUAUUUUAAUAUGGAUAAAAAUGUCAUGGGAGAUACUUUGCUAAAAUAUAGUCUGAUCAGAGUUAGAAGUAAUUUUCAAUUUCAGCAAUAGAACUAAUGCUAUAAUAUUUUAAAGUAAAUAAAUUAAUUAACAAUUGCAUUUAGUUAAUACUGUUACUAAUAAUUAUUAUUGUAUUAAUUUUGCAUGUAUAAGUUAUAUAAUUAGAACAAAAUCAAGAAUUUUUGAAAGUGUAUGCAAAGCAUGUAUGGAAACGGAAGAAUAUAUAGAAUAUUUUUGUAGACAUUAGGAAGUUACAGCACAAUAAUUUUGUGUUUAAAAAUCAUAUAUGUGACGACUGAAAGCAAACAAGUUACUUAUGUUACUAUAAACCAAAUGUCGUUUUUAACCCUAUCUACAUAGUUUUUAUAAAUUAUUACAGACUAAGUAUAUCUAAUUUAAUUUGAUGAAUAGUAUAUGUUAUCAAAGUCUGUAAACCUUUCUUUUUAAAACUCAGUAAAAAAUGAAAGAUGUAAUCUUUGAAUGUAGCAUUUCACUUAUUUCUUAAAACUUGUCAACAUCUUGUUAGAUCUAAUGUCAUAGAGUUCACAAUACAUUUUUAUAUUAUGAUAGUUUCCAAGGAGAGUAAGAUUAAUUUUAUCCCCUGUUCUACAAGCAACAAUUAACAUGUUUGAAAUGCAACAAAAUGUGAAAUGUAGUAUAAUUUACAGUUUCCUGAAAUUACAAUUAUAUUACCUCAUUUGUAUUAAUACAUAAAAUAUUCUGUAUUUAUUAUAUAGUACUGAAAAUAUAUAUUGCCGUUUUCAUUUGA